CCAUGAUGGGGGCGCGUGGCGGGGCCCGGCCGGCCCGGCCCCCCGCGGCUCCCCCUUGCCCCGGGGCCCCGCAGCCCCAAGAGACAUAGGAAAUUCGGCGAGGCCGGGGACCUCACCUGGCCCCGUCCAGCCGCACGCCGGGCACGGCGAGGCGGGGACGCUCGUGGGCAGCCUGGGGAAGCCGGGCAGGUGCGCAGAUCUCCACUGAAAUCGGAAAGCGAGAGGGAAGCGUGGAGGAGCGAAAUGAGAAGCAGCGCAAGGAACAGUUCUUUCAGGGUCGCUUUGCUGAGUUUAUAGAUUAGAGGGGUGGGGGAAAGAAAAACAAAAUUACAAACAUUUUACAUUAUUUGCUAUUGGAUGUGAGAUUUUUGUAUUUUCAGAAUGUAGGUUUUGUUGUUAAAAGUUAAAAAAGAUCCAGCACGGCAGUCAGAAGGAGAUAGUCCUGCAGACAGAUGAAACUUUCUCAGUCAGCCUGCAGACAGUUCCUGGGCCCCCGUUGCUGUCCAUAGCUUUAUCAAGCAAUAGUGCAGUGAGAUUAAGGCUUCGUAGCAGUUCCUCAUCAUUUGUGGGGGCAGAGGCACGAACCAGAGUCGUGCUAAUCCCCCUCUGCUGCUGCUGUUGCCUAAGAAGAGCCUCCAGCACAGGCACAUGGAAGUAUUCGUGGCAGAGCUUCACCUUGCUCUUCGCUUGGUGCCGUCCCUGAUGGUUUUACGUGCAAAAGACCCGAAAGAUAGGAUAGCAAUAAAGGAGGCACAAGAUUGUGGGAUAAAUCCUUUAGAUGACCCCAGGCUCAGAGAUGUAAGCAGACCUGUUCACAUGGGUAAACUCCUUGUGAAUUUGGGAUUGAGUCUAGCCUACAGAUCCCAAUCUGUAGUCCAAACAGCCAGCACCACAGCAGAUGCAUUUGGCAGCUGAUGGCCAGCGAGAAGUUUUCCUAGACCUUGAAAAGAGGAACUUUUUUCUGCUGUAGAUGUUAUAUCUGAAUAAAGAACCUCUGAUUCUAAUCUCA
rnacentral:lncRNA from 1 species